rnacentral:rRNA from 1 species
CCUACGGGAGGCAGCAGUAGGGAAUAUUGCUCAAUGGGGGAAACUCUGAAGCAGCAACGCCGCGUGGAGGAUGAAGGUUUUCGGAUUGUAAACUCCUUUUGUUAGAGAAGAUAACGACGGUAUCUAACGAAUAAGCACCGGCUAACUCCGUGCCAGCAGCCGCGGUAAUACGGAGGGUGCAAGCGUUACUCGGAAUCACUGGGCGUAAAGAGCGCGUAGGCGGGGUAGCAAGUCAGUUGUGAAAUCCUAUGGCUUAACCAUAGAACUGCAGUUGAAACUGUUAUUCUAGAGUGCGGGGGAGGUAGGAGGAAGUCUUGGUGUAGCGGUAAAAUGCGUAGAGAUCACGAGGAACACUGAUUGCGAAGGCAGCCUACUGUAGCGUUACUGACGCUGAGGCGCGAAGGCGUGGGGAGCGAACAGGAUUAGAUACCCGUGUAGUC